UUGCAGCCAGUUAAGCUGACUGUGCUCUUUUCCCCAUGGGGGCCCUGUGUGCAGUGGCUCUAAUCAGCAGCAUCCUUGGUAGCGUAUGCAGCCUGUUGCCAGUAUAAGUUGCCCUAAGGGACCUUGAAGAAAGCC
rnacentral:snoRNA from 1 species